UACGGGGGGAGCAAGCGUUGUUCGGAUUUACUGGGCGUAAAGGGCGCGUAGGCGGCCACCGCAAGUCGACUGUGAAAUCUCCGGGCUUAACCCGGAAAGGUCAGCCGAUACUGCGGGGCUAGAGUGCAGAAGGGGCAACUGGAAUUCUCGGUGUAGCGGUGAAAUGCGUAGAUAUCGAGAGGAACACCUGCGGCGAAGGCGGGUUGCUGGGCUGACACUGACGCCGAUGCGCGAAAGCUAGGGGAGCGAACAGG
rnacentral:rRNA from 1 species